rnacentral:rRNA from 1 species
ACGGGGGGGGCAAGCGUUGUUCGGAAUUACUGGGCGUAAAGGGCGCGUAGGCGGCCUUCUAAGUCGGACGUGAAAUCCCUCGGCUUAACCGAGGAACUGCGUCCGAUACUGAAAGGCUUGAAUCCGGGAGAGGGAUGUGGAAUUCCAGGUGUAGCGGUGAAAUGCGUAGAUAUCAAGAGGAACACCUGCGGCGAAGGCGGGUUGCUGGGCCGACACUGACGCUGAGGCGCGAAAGCCAGGGGAGCGAACGGGA